UACGUAGGGUGCGAGCGUUGUCCGGAAUUAUUGGGCGUAAAGGGUGCGUAGGCGGUUUGGUAAGUCUUGUGUGAAAUCUACAGGCUCAACUUGUAGUCUGCACGAGAAACUGCCGGGCUUGAGUGUGGGAGAGGUGAGUGGAAUUCCUGGUGUAGCGGUGAAAUGCGUAGAUAUCAGGAGGAACACCUGUGGCGAAAGCGGCUCACUGGACCAUAACUGACGCUGAUGCACGAAAGCUAGGGGAGCAAACAGG
rnacentral:rRNA from 1 species